GACGAACGCUGGCGGCGUGCCUAAUACAUGCAAGUAGAACGCUGAAGAGAGGAGCUUGCUCUUCUUGGAUGAGUUGCGAACGGGUGAGUAACGCGUAGGUAACCUGCCUUGUAGCGGGGGAUAACUAUUGGAAACGAUAGCUAAUACCGCAUAACAAUGGAUGACACAUGUCAUUUAUUUGAAAGGGGCAAUUGUUCCACUACAAGAUGGACCUGCGUUGUAUUAGCUAGUAGGUGAGGUAAUGGCUCACCUAGGCGACGAUACAUAGCCGACCUGAGAGGGUGAUCGGCCACACUGGGACUGAGACACGGCCCAGACUCCUACGGGAGGCAGCAGUAGGGAAUCUUCGGCAAUGGGGGCAACCCUGACCGAGCAACGCCGCGUGAGUGAAGAAGGUUUUCGGAUCGUAAAGCUCUGUUGUAAGUCAAGAACGGGUGUGAGAGUGGAAAGUUCACACUGUGACGGUAGCUUACCAGAAAGGGACGGCUAACUACGUGCCAGCAGCCGCGGUAAUACGUAGGUCCCGAGCGUUGUCCGGAUUUAUUGGGCGUAAAGCGAGCGCAGGCGGUUUGAUAAGUCUGAAGUUAAGGCUGUGGCUCAACCAUAGUUCGCUUUGGAAACUGUCAAACUUGAGUGCAGAAGGGGAGAGUGGAAUUCCAUGUGUAGCGGUGAAAUGCGUAGAUAUAUGGAGGAACACCGGUGGCGAAAGCGGCUCUCUGGUCUGUAACUGACGCUGAGGCUCGAAAGCGUGGGGAGCGAACAGGAUUAGAUACCCUGGUAGUCCACGCCGUAAACGAUGAGUGCUAGGUGUUGGAUCCUUUCCGGGAUUCAGUGCCGCAGCUAACGCAUUAAGCACUCCGCCUGGGGAGUACGACCGCAAGGUUGAAACUCAAAGGAAUUGACGGGGGCCCGCACAAGCGGUGGAGCAUGUGGUUUAAUUCGAAGCAACGCGAAGAACCUUACCAGGUCUUGACAUCCCGAUGCUAUUUCUAGAGAUAGAAAGUUACUUCGGUACAUCGGUGACAGGUGGUGCAUGGUUGUCGUCAGCUCGUGUCGUGAGAUGUUGGGUUAAGUCCCGCAACGAGCGCAACCCCUAUUGUUAGUUGCCAUCAUUCAGUUGGGCACUCUAGCGAGACUGCCGGUAAUAAACCGGAGGAAGGUGGGGAUGACGUCAAAUCAUCAUGCCCCUUAUGACCUGGGCUACACACGUGCUACAAUGGUUGGUACAACGAGUUGCGAGUCGGUGACGGCGAGCUAAUCUCUUAAAGCCAAUCUCAGUUCGGAUUGUAGGCUGCAACUCGCCUACAUGAAGUCGGAAUCGCUAGUAAUCGCGGAUCAGCACGCCGCGGUGAAUACGUUCCCGGGCCU
rnacentral:rRNA from 1 species